rnacentral:rRNA from 1 species
UACGUAGGGGCCGAGCGUUGUCCGGAGUUAUUGGGCGUAAAGCGCGCGCAGGCGGCCCCGCGCGCCCGACGUGAAAGCCCCCGGCUUAACCGGGGAGGGUCGUUGGGGACGGCGGGGCUUGAGGGCGGGAGAGGUAGGUGGAAUUCCCGGUGUAGUGGUGAAAUGCGUAGAGAUCGGGAGGAACACCUGUGGCGAAGGCGGCCGACUGGGCCGACCCUGACGCUGAGGCGCGAAGGCGUGGGGAGCGAACGGG